UUUUUUUUUUUUUUUUUUUUUUGGCUUUUAAGAUUUUAUUUGAGAGAGAAAGAGAGAGAGCAAGCACAAGUGGGGGAGGGGAGGGGCAGAGGGAGAGGCAGAAGCAGACUACCCACUGAGCAGGGAGCCCAACACAGGGCUCGAUCCCAGGACCCGGAGAUCAUGACCUGAACCGAAACCAAGGGUUGGAUGCUUAAACUGACCGAGCCACCCAGGCUCUCCAAGAGAUUUUUUAGAGUUGUAUAUUUCUCUGCUGCAGAUGACAUGGAGUUGCUUCUGAACCUUCGAUUUUUGAAGUGUGAUGUUCCCAUUGGUGAUGGCCAAUGAAAUCUGUAUGGUGUCUUUUUCUACCAAUGAUAUUACCACAUUGGGUCGGCAGGUCCAAGGGGCUGGACUACUUGUCUUCUGUUUAGACUGACUGUCAAGCCCAUUCUUGUUUUAGGCCCCAUUCAAAGCUGGUUGAAGCCUUAUAUGUCACAUAAUAUUUGGUCACAGCUCUAUUACCAAGUGUGGAAAAUUUGGCUGUUCCAGAACCCAAAGAACCCUACCAGGCACCAGGCGACCUCUUUCAUAGUGGGAAACGAGAGAUGCCACACUUUGUUAUUGACUUUGGAGAGAGACCCCAGCAUGCCCGGGAUGAGGGGUCAACAGACUUUCUGUAAAAUGCCAGAUAGUAAAUGUUUUAGGCUUGUGGGCCAUGUGGUCUGUGACACAACUCCUCAACUCUGUCAUUGUCGCAUGAGAGCAUCCAUAGACAAUAUGAGAAAAAAAAAAAAGAAUAAAGCUGCACUCCAACAAAGCUGUGCACAAAGCAGGAAGUGGGCCAGGUUUGAUGCAUAGGCCAUAGUUUUCUGGCCUCUGCCCUAAAACACUAGAUUCUUAGUAAUUGUACCGAUUGAGCAGCUACUCUCUCAUAGACUAGUGUCUCUGCAGGAUGUCUGAAUGAUACAGGUCUCCGGACGAUACCUGCCAGAGAGAGGGAGUGCUUACAUAUCUCUGGGGUAAGACCGUUGUCCAUUCCAGGUAAUGAUGGACUGUUUUCUAAACUUCCUUCCUUAUGGGUUUGGUAAAGGAUACAUUUUUCACAUCAACAUCCACACACACUAUACCCGAGACCAUGUUACUCUAGCAAAAGUAUCAUCAUCCGGUACCACAGCUGCAGUCCCUUGCCCCUCUGCCCACGUGGGGUAGCAUACUCCUAGGACUCAGAGGCGGGGCAGGGGCAGCUUGGAGGGGGCCGUCAGUCCGCCUGCAAUACCUCCCGUUUAUUGUCAUCUUCUGUCUGACUGGCCUGGUGUCCUUCAUUCCAGAUCCUCAUUGUUUGAAUUUUUCUAAAAAGAAAUCUAUAUUCAGGUGUCUCUUGAUGCUUUGAUGUGUAAAAUGCUGACGAAAUCACUGUCCUCAUCUUUCAUGAGGGGGGUAUGCACUGUCUGGUCCAUUCCUUGACAUAAAUUUUUCUCACUUUCUUUAUGUGGAGGAAAUGCCAAUCAAUAGUCCGUGAAUCUAGCCAGAGUGGAACCAGGACUGGUCCUGUGGCUCUGGCUUCCUGCUUACCCUUCCCUCCUCGUGAGAAGAGUUUAAAACCACUCAUAACUUGAUUUGCUCAGUGCCUUCAUAUUGCCUCUCUGACAAUUAGAAGCCCCUACCCAUUUGUUUUUUUGAAAAGCUUUAAACCAAUAUCUGUUUUUAUCAAGCCAUACACUAGCAAGCCGGUUCUUAUUAUAAUUCUUUGUGUUGUUCCACACUGAAUUGUGUUUGCUCUAUUUAAUAAAAUAAUUUUUUUAUUCCACAUGCUGAUAGUAGACGUGGCUAUAUGCCCAUUGAACUAACACAUCUGCUUCCAAGCUGUUCGUGUGAGAAACUUUCUGAUAAAUUAUGUUGCUGUGAAUGAAUUCAUAUUUUCAUUGAAAAUAAGCUCUUAUAAAUGAUUCAUGUUUCUCUGCAUUUUUAAGGGAACAAAUUAAUUUUUUAAUUGAGCAGCGAAAUGACCUGUUCUUCCAAAAUACAUAUUAAAAGAAGAUGGUUACAAGUGACCAUGAUGACUCAGACUCUUUGCAAUAAUUUCUUCAUUUGCUUAAGAUGUUUGACAAAUCUUUCUUAGUAGAAAUCCAUAGCGCCAAAUAAGUUAUUAUAGAAUGGCAUCUUCUGGAAUAGGAUUGUAGUUAUAUGAAACAACAUAAACUAAACGUAGUGAAAGCACCACAUCUUAUCAUAACAAAAAUAUCCAGAAAUUAAAACAAAUACUGGCCAAACUCAUUUCAAUUUAGACAGAAUCCUUAUAUUAUGAAUUAUAGUGGUGCUAAUGCUAAUAAUAGUUUCUGACUUGUAUCACAUUUUCUGUCUACACAUUCAUUUUCUACCUGUAAUUUGUAUAAGAGAUAGCAAAUCUCUUAUCUUUCCUGAUGACUUUCUUAGUGGAAAUUUAGUACACUUCAGCCUUACCAUAGUUGAAAUUUCAUGAUGUAUGAAAUUGAUAUGGUGCUAAAAUACCUCUAAAAACUUCUUUGAGCAAUUUCUACUCUUCUACUGGCUUCUAUCAUGAAAUUGAAGCUGAGCUAUAGAAUUUAAGCUAUAAAACAUAAUAUAAAGGUAGAGUCAAUCUUAUCCUUGAAAUCCUUAAUUUGAAGGGAAAUAUUUUCUGAGAUAUUAACAAUAUUGUAAAAGCAAAAUUGCUACUAAAUUGCCAAAACGAAUCAUAGUUACACAUAUGCAACUAUUUUUUACCAUGUGAAUGUUUCUCUACUGAUGAAGUGGGCCUGAGGAAAGGUAUGGAAUCUCCCACUGGCUCCCAAACAGCUCAGGGAAACCAAGGCAGACCUCAACCCAACUCCUUCAGACUUUAGAUACUAUCCUUUCCCUUAAUAUCAAAAUAAAACUAGUUUGAGCUCCUUUCUUGAGACUGUAUGAAGUGGAUCCUUUGAGUGGGUACCUCCUCCCUGCAAGAUUUUCUGGAGGCCCUGGAAGAAUGGUGUCAUGUUCUACAAACUCAUCUUGGUCAUUAAAAGUUACCCCAGCCAGCUUCCCCCAUUGGACCAUUACUCUAGUAACCAAAGGGGUUAAGUUCGGUAGAUGAUCUCAGUUGUUCCUGACCAGCUUCUAGCUAUAAUAAUUCCCUUAAUUUACCAAAUACUAGGAAUAGUAUUAUACUAUACUAAAUACUACAGCAUUUCAGGAAAAAUUGUGGAUAUCUUGGAAAUAAGGCAGUAAUAAAGUAAUAAUAAUGCAGGACUACAGAAUUCAAUUGGAUAUCAAUUAUCACAGUUCCUAGAGUCCACCAAUCAUGCCAUUCCACUGAGUUGUCCUAUUUAGUGUUCUGUCCAGCUGUUUUCUCACCCAGGGUGGUAUGACUUCCUUCCCAGGCUCAAAACAUAAAGACCACAGCCAAGUGGAAGGGCAGUUCCUUGCCAACACCUGAUUUCUUUCUGCCUCGGGGUGAAAAACAUUCAUAUUAGUUAGUGGAAACUUUUACUCAGACACAGGAUAGAGUCUAGCUCCCAAGUCACUGCCAGGACAAAGUGCUUGACGGGCAAUUUCUUGAAGCACAGAAUAUCCAUCCUUGGAGAGGGCCAGGUGGGAGACUUUGACAUCCUGCCUCUAGUACAUUCUGUGGACUCACCCCUGGGUUACUGUGAAGAUUCAGCUCAUCAUCUAUGCUCCAAGCCUCAUCCCCACGAAGUGUCUACCUGCAACUCCCUACUGGGGGCCACCUCCAGUACUUCCAUUUCGUGGAAUAGGAUUAUCAUCUACCUCAUUGUCAGAAGCUAAAAUCAAACCAGGAGGCCCCUUUCAUCAUAAUCCCCAUCCGAAUGAUCACCACAAUUCAUCCCUUAAAUAUCUCAUAAAAUCUAUCCUCUUCUCUCUUUUCCACUGCUCCCAUUCAAGGUAUUGCCAUUGUUUGGGCUUCCUGAGUUGCUGUCCGCAUCAGGCUGCAACCCCCCGCCCCUCCCCGCCAGCCCUUCUCUGCUCUUCAGACCUCUCUAUCUGUCAUCUUGUACCCUCACUCUUUAGAAGCUUCUCUUUGCUCUGAGGAUAGAGGACUGUGUAGCCCAUAUGGGAUAUGCUGAUUAAUUAUAAACAUCAGAUUUCAUCAUGAAUAUAUGCCAUUUUUAAUGAUAAAUUAUGUGACUAACCUAAACAAAAUCAUGAUCUGGCCCCAGCUUCAUCUCAGAGGUACCCCUGUUUUUUCCACACCAAUAUUGUUUCAGUUCAGUUUCAUUUAUUUUCCGUUCAUCCCUCCUCCCCACCGCACGAAAUUGGAAGUUUGCUGUUCCUCUGUAGUAAAUCCCUUCCUCUUUAAAUAGGUAAUUCAUUUCCAUCAUUUUGAGCAUCAUUAUUUCAGCAAAGCUUUCCCUGGUCUCCAUUUCAUGGUCAAAUUCUCCUACUGAACAAACAGUAUUUGUGUGCCUUCAUGAGCCUGAGCCCCAUGGGAUCAAGAGCUACGGUUUUGUGUGUUUUGAACUCAGUCCCAUCACCAAGCACAACGCCAGAUGUUUAGCAGCCACCCAACAGAGUAAACUGAAUAUACAUCAAUUAAAUACAAAACGACUUAGAACUGGUCAUCUUCUAUAUACAUAUGAUCGGAGGGUCAAUUUCUG
rnacentral:lncRNA from 1 species